UCCCGCUGAGACCCCGCGCUCCCUCCUGCUUGUGAGCUUGCAGGGAUGGGGUCCUUCCGUUUAGCUAAGUCCUUCCUGCCCUUCUGUCCCAGAGAGGCUACUUUUCACAUGGAAAAUGCCAUAGCAUUUUGUAAGACUAACAGAAACAUUUCACCACGGCAGCAAAUUUGCAAAGCCGUCUGCAUAAAACCAAUACUCAUUCUAAAGUCUUCCUCUUUUCUCCCCCUGCCUUGUGCCUGAAAUAUCCUGGGGAUAGUUUUUUUGGUUUUAUUUGGAGUGAUUUUAUAGUUGUAAAUUGCUGGUCCAGAAUUUCCAGUAUUCACUUCUGCUGAGUGAAGAACUGCCUUUUUGAUUUAAUUAUAGAUGGCUUCCAUUUUAGAAAGUUAAGGAGAACCUUCACCCCAAAUUCCUGCCCUGCAGGAACUGGCAAGAGGGCCAGCUAGGCACGCAGAGGAUCGGACUCCAGCUCUCCAGGGCCAGGGGCUGUGGACAGACAACCGGACGGGCUCUGGUCAAAGCCUCACCAUGGCCUCAGGCGUGAUAGGGCUCUGCCCAAACCACAAAUCCUGUUAACAUUUCCCUCCUGCAUUUCUCUCUCUUGAAGAGAAGACUCGCAACAGGGUUUCCACCACUCCCCUGAUGCCUGAAGGGCAGCUGGCUGUGCCUCAAAAGCCACAGCCCCGGGAGGCCCCUGACAGGUGGGUGGAGGGUGAGGAAGACAGGCGUCCACACUCAGACACUCAUCAGGAGGUAUUUGUUGGUAUGUGGUCAGAGACACAAUUUGGAUCCGGUUAUUUACGAGGACUAGAUGUGAGUGUUGUCUUGUGACUCUGAGGAGGGAUUUUUUAAUAGGGAGAGAGUCUUGAGUUUGCUAGUUACUGUUGUUGUGGACUGAAAGUGUUCCCCAAAAUCCUUUGAUCUCUGGUUAGCCUGGCACUUGAAAUCACUGGACAGACCUUCCUGUGGGAGGACUUUCUUCCUCUGUAUCUGAGCCUCAGAAGGAGGUGGACUUCCAGGUGGACAUCCUCUGCACCUGCCGGCACCCAGCCCCGCAGCGGAGAGCCCCUGAGGGAGGUGGAAGAGAGUGCAUCACGGUUUGGCAGCAGGAGGACUCAGGAAGACUCUGAUGCGUCAGGAACUGAGAAGAGUGGUGAUUAUCUGCAUGAGCUAGGCUUCUCGGAGCUCCAGUCCCAGGAGUUCAUCAUAUUUACUGUGUGAAAUCUGUCAGACUCUGGCCUGAGAAUGCUCACUGUCAGGCAUCUGCCCUCCAUCAGGAGAGCUGGGGUCACUUCCCUGGAGAAAAUAAAACCACAGAAGGAGGUAUCUAUAUGCUGGAAAUAGGAAGGCAAACAUUGAAGUCUUUGAUAUAAAAUAGACUGAAAUAAACCAACUAAAAACGAUCCUAUGGAAAGCAAAGAUAAACCUCAGAAUAGAUAUAUUCCUCAAAGGUUUUGAGAGUAUACUGAUAAAUAAGAACACCAUGCCACAGACAGAAAAUAAUCAGGGAAUUAAGAAAGGCUCCUGGAAAUCAGAAACAUGACUUACAAAAUGAAAAAAUUCAGUAGAAGUGUCGGGAGAUAAAGUAAGGAAACAGCCCAGAAAGUACAACAAAAUGACAAAACACUUAAAAGAACAAUAUCUAAUUAGUAGGGAUUAUGGAAAAAUAAUGGAGAAAAUGAAGGAGAAAAAUAUCAAAGAAAUGUAAGAAAAAUGUCCCAGAGUUAAAGGACACAAGUCUCCAGAUUAACUGGGCUCUCUGUGUGAAUGAAAAAAGCUCCAAGACCAAAAACCAAAGCAAAAACAAAACAAAACCAAACAAAACCUCAAACCUACGCAGAGAUUUAACAUCAUUAAGUUUCCGAGCUCCAAGAGUCAAGAGAAGACCCUAACAAGUCCCAGGAAGUGGAAGGCAGACGGAAGUAUCCAAGGAGGCGAGAAUUGGGUUGGUAGCAGACUUCUCAGCCUCUUAGCAGCACAGAAGUCGCGGGGACCAGGCUUUGCUAGUUCUAGAAGGAAUGGUUUCAACCUGGAACAAAGAAAGCCACUUGAGGAUAUAAGCAAAGAAAACAAGGUAGAAAAUCCAGGGGAAAGAAGACAUGAAAUAUCCGGCCUGGAGACAGGCCUGAUGGCACACCUGGGUCCGAGGGGCAGGCAGGGGCGCCCUGGGGAGGAGAUCGGGGGAGGAGAAAAAGCUCCCCGGAUUUAUCGGACUGCUCAACAUAGUGGAGCUUGCAGAGAGAACUAUGAAUACAGAAGCGUGGACAGAGUGAGAGAAAGAAAGGCAAAAUGUCGAAGCCCCCAGCCGCGGACGCUAACCCUGAUGCUACUCAGCUCUGUGACAACUCUGGUCAUGUUCAUUAAAGUCACGAUUUAACGUCAGUAGGAGGUGUACCAAAGCCCAAUCUUCUCACCCAAACAGAAAGCCAGUAUCCACUAUCGGUCAGUCAAGAAGUCCCAUUCGAAGACCAUCAUCCAGAAACAUGGUAGCUCCCAGGAUCCCGGGUGAGGCUUGUCAGUGUCCGCUCCAGGGACCAGAAGAGAAGGGUCUUUCGUUGUGCGUGGUUCACAGCACUAUUUGAUAUUUUUGAUCAUGUGUGUUUCGUAUUGGUCGCCAUAACUUGGAUGUUAUGAUCCGUUGUUACUUUGUCUUCGGUUCGGCAAGCCUAGCAGCAGUGUCCGCUCACAGUCCUUGGCACCUAACUGAAGCCCGCGGUUCCCAGGCUCUGUGGCUGGCCUUUUCCCAAACUUGUGGCCCCACAGUGGGGAAAUCUCAGCUGGCUCUGUGAGCCUGUGGCCUGGGUGCCGUGAACAGGCACCCCUGAGCCCCUGCGUGUCCCGGGAGGACUGUCAUAGGGCUCCCACCGCAAAGCAGAGCCCUUCGACCCCAGCACCUGCUUUUCCUGUGAAGCUGCACUUGACCCCCACACCGACUCAGGCCGCAGCACUCUUGCUGUCUGCUACAUCCAUUGUCUUGCUCACAGGGAGAUGGCCAAGCAAGCCGCCUCGUUCAGCUCCUAGCUGUGUCACUUGCUGACUGGACACUCUUGGGCGAGUUGCCUGCCCUCUCUGAGCUUUGGUUUCUUUGCUGUAAAAUGGGGUAGUAACAGCACCUACAGCACAGGCCACGGGAUGGUACUUCCUCAUCCAAGAAUAUGAGAACAUGUCUCUGUUCUGAAUCUCCCCAGUCCUGGAAUAUUCCACCAGACACCCAGGUUAUGGCUUUUGGAGGUAAGCCUUGUUUCUGGGUGAAGUUCAAGCUCUCCUCCAGUGGUGAGCGGCCUAUGGCCUAGCCUGCAGAAGGCAGGGGCAUUUUAGAAGGCAGUGUUCUCAUACUGAGUGCAUGAGAAACACUUGGGUAGAUUCCUAACGAUGCAGACUCCCAUCUGUGUCCCUCCAUUGUGAUAUAGUCAGUCUAGGCUAGGUCGCAGGAACCCACAGUGUUCUCAGAUCCUGCAGGUGAGUCUUAUCUUUGACAGACACUAACGUAUCUGGGGGUGACUGGCCAACCCCAACAGAGCUCGUCUCUUAUGGAGUUUGCAGACAGCAGGGUCCCAGAAGCUGAGACGUAGAGCUAGAUACAGAUGAAGCCAACAGUGGGGAUGAGGUGGGACAGCCUGUCAGGCUGCAGAGCGGACGCAUGAAGAGCAGGAAGGGAAGCAGAGCUGAUGAGGUCACAGUGUGGGAGUUCUAGAGCUACCUGUUGGUCGCCGCAGCUUCUGUGGGGCUCCUGAGACCUCCUCAAUGGCGGAUGGCCCAUGAGCCAUGUUUGAGCUGUCACACCUGGCCGGUGGCUGUCGAGGUUGCUUCUGCCCUUAAUCUCCUUGUCCUUUCAAUAAACCUCUUAAUUAGACCCUGAGCAGUUGUUUAUUCCUUGCCACUAAGGUAGCUCCUAACUCAGAAGUGGACUGAAUCUUCUCCAUCAGAUCCAUUGUAUUGGUUAUGAAUGCUUUGGCUCCAAGUAACAGAAUAUAACAACUAGAAUCCUUCCAGUUUACUCACCCAGGGAGGUGUAUUUAUUCACAUGGAAAGAAGUCCAGGAGAAGGUGACUGCAGGCCCUGGCUCUGUGAUUCGAUGAUACAGGGGCCGAAUCCCCUUAAGGUUUUCAUGACUUCCCCCAUAGGAUCACAAGUGACUGCCCCAGUGCCCACGUCUUUGGCAGGAAGAGGGGGUCAGCCUGGUUCAGCAUCUCCCAUUAGCAGAUGUGAAGUCAAGGAAGUUAUUCUCAGUGGUGUGGGUAGGCCCCCUCUAAUCAGUAGAAAGACCUUAAAGCAAACACUGAGGCUUCCUUAAGGAUCUUCCUCAGGAUGAUAGCACGGAUAUCUUGCUUUAGUAUCCGGUCUGCUGGCCCAGCCUGUGGAUUUUGGACUUGUUGGUCCCCAUAAUUGCAUAAGCUGAUUCCUUGAAAGACUCCCUCUGCCAACAUAGAUGGUAAACACAGCAGGUAAGUAAAUGGAUAGGGUUCUAUCUACUGGUUGAUUUGUGUUCUGCAGCUAUGAUCAGAGGAUUCACACAUUUCUGACUGUUUUGCCAUGAUUUAAAUGGCCCAAAGCCAGACCUCCCAUGGUGAUCCUUCUGGAAAUCCCAAGACUCAGCUUCAGGCUAAGCCGCCUCCAAGCCUCCAGCCCCACCCUCAUUUGCUCAAGUGGCCAUGGGUCAAGCAAAAUGACACACACCAAGUGCUGUAGAAACAGCUACUGUUCCUCGGAAGCAAGACAGGCCCCCCUUUCUGAUAAAGUGCCCUCUUUGAACCCAGAGAAGUCAGAUCUGUGGGAGAAAGAGCUGAGCUUUUGACGUCAAUGUUAUGAAAUGAGCUGUUCCAGAAAGUGUUCUGUAAAGCCUGUGUUGAGUGAUCUCAUAACAAUUGACGCAGGCCAAAACCCACUUUAGCAAAUUAUCUUAUAAUUACUUAAUUCUGUGUGAUCAAAAAAUGAUUUAUAAUCCUUAGAAGAGGGCACACUAAUCCCAAAACCAACACCACAAAAUCCUAGGAAAAGUACUCAAAUAAUACUUGAACAGAAUAGAAAUCAUCUACUUCUAGGGCCAAGCUUUCCUGAGAUAAGAAGCAGAUGGUUUUGAAUGGAGAGGCGAUAGAUUGGGGUGGGUUGGGCAGACCCCGUCCCCCAGAUCGGGAGCAACAGAGUAACUUAACCCCUUUCCUUUGGACUUUGUAUGGUUCCCAGAAGGUCCGCUCACAUCGGCAUUGAGACGUCCUCUUGGGGAAAGUCUGCUUCUCCCAGGGGAGAGGUGAACAGGGAGGGAGAAGCUCGCAGGUGAUUCUAAUGGACCAGUGUGCAAGGCACCCUUCCAACUGAGGUGCCCAACCCUGGAUGCACACUGAAAUCCCUGGGGAACUUCUACGAAUUCUGAACCUCAGCCCAACUGUCCGGACCAGUGGAGCAUGCUAACUGCCACAGGCCACUGCCUCUUGUCUCUCUGUUGGCCCUACUCAGUAGGUGGGAGGGGAACUGUGCUCUGCUGUGAGUCCUCAGGCUGGUGGACAAGCCUCUCUGUGUCUCGAUCUCCGUGGGGAGUAAGGGGUUAACUCAAUGGUCCCUUAGGACCCUCCGUGGUAGAAUCAAUGUAAAUUCCUUUCUACUCCUGGAAGUUGGUUUUCUUGCUAUUACAUCCCUGAUGAUGUUGUUGUGGAUGUAUCAAAAUUUAUAGUGAUAAGUUGAUAAAUGGUUUUUGGCCUGAGAACAUAAUAAUUAAAAAUGAAAAGUAAAUUAGGGAAAGAUUUACUUUUAGAUAAUGGAAUCUGAGCAGUGUUUCUCAACCUGUCCUCUGAAAUUUUCAUUAAAAUUCUGCUUAGAAAGUCAUGUCUCUAUCAGUAGGUGGAGUUUAACCCUGAUUGGGCUAACCAGUCUGGAGUCUUGGCCGUCAUGCCAUUUCGUCCUUGUGUAGGAUCAUAUGGCUCUCUUGUUCUGGAAACUGUCUUGGGUUUUAUUUGCCACAGAAAUCUUCCUAACUCUCCUGCCAAAUACAGUGUCUGCCAGCCUGUCAAAUUUUGAAGGCUCAGUAAAAUGAGCCAGGGCAGAGCCUGUCAGGCAUUGCUGGGGCUCAGUGUUUGAAGGGGCCGGAAGUUACCAUUUAUUCACAGACUCCACUGGAGCAUGGAUUCUUACCCUUGUUUCCACGAAUGGGCUUCAGAGGCUCCAUGGUCUCUUAAGCUGUGCCCUCAGGGCCCCACCUACGUGUCCAUUUUUCUGGGGAUAUGCCAUGUAUAAGUUAUGCCUUCCUUGUCUUCAUCAGGGAUUUCUGUUUCUUACAAUGGCAGGUACUGCUGGAAAUGUCCUUGCCCAUGACCUCAGAAAGGGGACCUGGAUCAGAAGAAUGCUGACCCUUUCUGAGUUGGGGCAAGGUAUCGCUGCUGGGGGACCUCCAUCUGCCUGCUGGACACAUUCUCAUGCCCCUGAUUUGUAGAGCGAGUGUGGACUGCACCUGCUACAGUCUGCUCUGAUUUGCCUCUUACCAGCCAUCUCCCCUGACUGGAAUGCAGGUGCUUUAUUCUGUCCACGUCUGAGCUCCCAGUGCCCUAGGAACCUGCCUGGUAAGUAGAAGGCACUUUACACAUGUUGGCUGAAAGCAAAGAAGUAUGAAUUUCUGAACAUGAUUGCCUCCAAGAGUAGCCACCUUAAUAUCUUGUGUAUUUCUUUUUAGUAUUUUUAAUGUGUUUUUAUAUGAAUGAAGGAUUCUAUAUACAAUUUAAGUGCUUUUUUUUUUCUCCACUUAACUUCCUAAGCAUUAUUUUUUAUCAUUAAAAGUUUGCAAACAUCCUUGGUCACAUGAUACCCCAGGAAAUGGGCACCCUGGGAUCUAGCCAUUCCUCCCAGUUCCAGCCUGUUCUCCCAGUUCUUGCCAUGUGUGCAUCUUUGUACAUAAAUAUUUGUUUAAAACCAGGUUUAUUUGCUUAGGAUAAGAAGUGAAACUAUUUGGUUGAAGUUCACAAACAUUUUUGAAGUUAUUGCUGUAUUUACUGAAAUGCUUUCUUGAAAUUUUGGACCAGUUUGGUCCUAUCAGUAACAUUCUAGGUGGGAUAUUAUUUAUUUGUCUUUACAAAUUUUUGUAUUGGGAAAUAAAAAUGCAUCACUUUAUUUUCUUGUGACAUUGAACAAUUUUCACAUAUUUAUUAGGUAUUUUCAUUUAUACUUUGUGGCUUGGCUUUUUAAGUAAUCUGCCCACUUAUUCAUGGAGUCUUGGCAGCUUCCUUAUUGACUGAACCUUAGGAAUAUUUACUCCUUUUCAUAGUUCUUGCAAAUAUUUUUCUAUAUUAUUAUUUGUCUUUUAAUUUAGUGUAUUGGUUUUUUUGAUAUGCACAACUUUAAAAUGUGGUGUAAGUAAGAACUUUUGUGUGGUAAAGUGCAGCAAUUUUCUUUGAGAUUAGGAAGAACUUUCUCAACCAAUGAUAGAGAAAUUCACCUACAUAUUCUUUUAGUAUUUUUUGGUUUUGAUUUUUAGCAUAUUAACUCCUUCAUCCAUCUGGGAUUCAUAUUUAUCUACAAUGUGAAACACUAGCACAUGUUUAUUUUUUCUUUUUUGGUUUUAAAAGUGAACUUUGAUUUUGUUUUCCUGAAAAGGAACCUCAAGAAGACCCUGGUGAUGCAAAGCAUCGUCAGCACCUGGCCGGUGAGGAGCCACGUGAAGGCCCAUGGCCUCGGCAGCACCCUUUCCCUUCACACAUGUGUGGCUCUGACUUGCACUCCCUGGGGGGCUGGUGGGGCCUGGAGUUGCAAUUUAUGGUAACAUGCAGGAGCAGAGCUGAGUGCCCAGGUGAGGAGGACGUGUACAGGGACCCGGAAGCAUAUUCCGCCCAGCACAAGGGCACCUGAGGCUCUGUGGUCCAGGAGGCGUUUCUGACUCCAGAACAGCAAGCACCCGUUCUCAGCAAUGGGGUAGCUGGAUUGCUGGAGGGAAACCUUAUGGUCAGACAGCGUGGCUGGGAAAUAUGUGCUUUAUUUGACAUUGGCGCCGACCCAGAUCCGUCUGCCAUUUGAGAACAGAAUGAUCUUAACGGAAAGAUCCCAUCAAAACAAACCUAGAAACUUUUUCUCUGAGGACAAACUCUGAAAUUUCUGGAUUAUUUUUCAUUCCAUACUGGUUGCUAUACCAACAAGUAUCUUGUGCUAAGGCAGAUAGAAGGAGCCAAAGAGACCUGUUUGAAAAAAUGAGUUACUUUAUUUUAGAUUAUGUUUUCUUCCUUCAUAGAAUUAAAUAUUUUCAAAUGUGUUUCCAAGAAAAUAAGCCCAAGGCUUAUGUAGUCUUGGCCUAAUCAAGCGUGAGCUGCCCACCAAUAGCCAGACUGGUUAAAGACCUCUGGUGCCUUUCCCUGAUGUAACCAUCCUUAUGGGACAUUUUAAUGAAAAUCUUGAAUCCCUCAGAGCCCCAUUAUUCCUCUUUAUGGGCAUAUGUGAACAUUAAUAAAUCUGCGGUCACCAUUCCUGAGCAACGCAUGCCAGAGGUCACCAUGACCUUUCUCUGCAGCUUGUUUGCUUGGUUGCCUUGAGGAAGGAUGGGUAAUUGCAAAGAUCCCCCUGGUGCUUUGUGCAGGGGCCCUGAUGGCCUCUCCUGCAGUCUGAUCUCCCUAAGAGGACGUCUGUCCUUUCAUCAGGCAAAGCUGCCCAGCCCGUAAGGUUACAGGUGCUGAGGGCACGUCCCACAGCCCCGGGGGCACCUGGGCGACUUGCCUUCCUGCACAGGUGCCUUCUCCGUUCACCACCAUGUGCAGAACAAGCAGGAUCUAUGUGUACCAUGACUUGAAACAUUUGUGAAGAACUGGUUCAAAAUUUACUGAGAUCUAUAUUCCCUGGAAAGAUCUAAUGGGGAUAGUGUUUAGGAAGCCUAUCACUAAGUAAAGGUUUUCUACCUCUGAGCAGAGGAAAGUGUCCAUGCACAUUGCACUUCUUUGGGAAUAAAGAGCUGUCUGGGCAGUAAAUGCCUCUCAGAUUACACAGGGUGGUUACUUGUUCCUGCUUCUUACUUACAGGUGACUCUUUCCCAUAAUUCUGAUCUUGUUCAAGAUCCCUCAGCCUGUAUGUGGCUGACUCAGUGUACUUUUCGAAAGAUGGAUUGGCACGUGGCACCCAUGUUCCUCGAGGUACCCUUGCCCAGCAUGGGCCUCCCAUGUCAAAACCUUCAUUCAGUAGUCUAAAUCACAACUUACUUAACCAUCCUUAAAUGAUCUAAUAUUUUAUUUUCAAUUCUCUGACAUUGAUAUUAUAAAUAACAUUGUAAUGACCAUUUUUGCACAUGAAUUAUUGUGCACAACUCGGUAUAUUUAAUUAGGGAAAACCCCUAUAGAUAAACUUACUAACUGGAAUGAACAUUUUAAAGUCAUAUCAGGUUUAAUGUUUAUAAUAAAAAGGAAAUAAAUACAGGAUAAUAAUAUGCUGUAUGGUAUAAUAGUUAUAUUGCCUUAUGGUAAUACUAUGAUAUAUAAUAAAACCACCAAAUAUAAAGUUUAUAAUAUCGUA